GAUGAACGCUGGCGGCGUGCCUAAUACAUGCAAGUCGAGCGAACAGACGAGGAGCUUGCUCCUCUGACGUUAGCGGCGGACGGGUGAGUAACACGUGGAUAACCUACCUAUAAGACUGGGAUAACUUCGGGAAACCGGAGCUAAUACCGGAUAAUAUAUUGAACCGCAUGGUUCAAUAGUGAAAGACGGUUUUGCUGUCACUUAUAGAUGGAUCCGCGCCGCAUUAGCUAGUUGGUAAGGUAACGGCUUACCAAGGCGACGAUGCGUAGCCGACCUGAGAGGGGGACGGGCCCCACGGGAGUUGAGACGCGGCCCAGACCCCGAGGGGAGGCAGAGGUGGGGAAUCUUCGGGAAGGGGGGAAAGCCUGACGAGGCAACGCCGGGUGAGUGAAGAAGGUCUGGGGAUCGUAAACCUCUUUUUUUGGGGAAAAACAAAUUUGUAGGUAACUAUGCCCGUCUUGAGGGUACCUAUACAGAAAGCCACGCCAACCAAGGU
rnacentral:rRNA from 1 species